GAUCUAAUAAGCUGUUUUAAUAUAAAUCAUUCCACUGGCUUCAGAAGGACUUGGAUCAGAGUUACAAAGAGAAUUGCAAGAAUUCAUCUGCUGCUUCCUAGUAGAAAAGUGGAGCAUAUUUACUAGUGAGCAGUUGGCUGCUAUCAAAAUGGACCUGGACUGGAGCUUCCUGUUGUACAAAUGAAAAAAUUUCCCAAAGAAGGCUGGUGUUUGUAAGAAGAAAUUUUUCCAAAAGUGCACAGGAUCUUGGGGUCAGGAACAGCACCUUCAGAGUGAAGAAAUUGUUAGAACCAACACAUUCUAAUCUGCUCAAAAAGGACCCAGAUUUGUUUCA